rnacentral:lncRNA from 1 species
ACAGCAUCACAGCACCACCAUCAGUGCCAUCCCUGCAUCACCACCAACAGUGCAUCACCACCAUCAGUGCCAUCCGUGCAUCACCACCAUCAGUGCAGCACCACCAUCAGUGCAGGACCACCAUCACCACCAUCAGUGCAGCACCACAGCAUCACAGCACCACCAUCAGUGCCAUCCCUGCAUCACCGCCAUCAGAGCAGCAUCGCCAUCAGUGCCAUCCCUGCAUCAUCACCAACAGUGCAUCACCACCAUCACUGCAUCACCACCAUCAGUGCAGCACCGCAGCAUCACAGCACCGCCAUCAGUGCCAUCCCUGCAUCGCCAUCAGUGCAGGACCACCAUCACCACCAUCAGCGUCGGCACCGCAGCACCACAGCACCGCCAUCAGUGCAGCCUCUGCAUCACCACCAUCAGUGCAGCACCACCAUCGGUGCCAUCCAUGCAUCACCACCAUCAGCGUCAUCAGUGCAGCACUGCAUCACUGCCAUCAGUGCAGCACCACCAUCAUGGCCAUCAGUGCAGCACCACAGCAUCGCCAUCAGUGCCAUCCCUGCAUCACCACCAUCAGUGCUGCAGUGCGGCAGAGCAGCACCGCCAUCAGUGCCAUCCCUGCAUCACCAUCAGUGCAGCACCACCAUCAGUGCAGCACCACCAUCACCACGAUCAGCAUUGGCACCGCAGCACCGCCAUCAGAGCAGCACCGCCAUCAGUGCCAUCCCUGCAUCACCAUCAGUGCAGGACCACCAUCACCACCAUCAGAGCAGCACCACCAUCAGUGCCAUCCCUGCAUCACCACCAUCAGUGCAGCACCGCCAUCAGUGCAGGACCACCAUCACCACCAUCAGAGCA